rnacentral:tRNA from 4 species
CCGGGGGCGGGCAAGGGGGGGCGGCCGGACGCCGCCCGGGCGUCCGGCCGGCCGUUCAGGCGGACGGCGGCAGGUCCUCUCCCGCCUCCUCGGC